rnacentral:rRNA from 1 species
AACGAACGCUGGCGGCAUGCCUAACACAUGCAAGUCGAACGAGACCUUCGGGUCUAGUGGCGCACGGGUGCGUAACGCGUGGGAAUCUGCCCUUGGGUUCGGAAUAACUCAGAGAAAUUUGAGCUAAUACCGAAUGAUGUCGCAAGACCAAAGAUUUAUCGCCCAAGGAUGAGCCCGCGUAGGAUUAGCUUGUUGGUGAGGUAAAAGCUCACCAAGGCGACGAUCCUUAGCUGGUCUGAGAGGAUGAUCAGCCACACUGGGACUGAGACACGGCCCAGACUCCUACGGGAGGCAGCAGUGGGGAAUAUUGGACAAUGGGCGAAAGCCUGAUCCAGCAAUGCCGCGUGAGUGAUGAAGGCCUUAGGGUUGUAAAGCUCUUUUACCAGGGAUGAUAAUGACAGUACCUGGAGAAUAAGCUCCGGCUAACUCCGUGCCAGCAGCCGCGGUAAAGUCUGUACU